rnacentral:rRNA from 1 species
GGGUUGUGAGGUUAAGCGACUAAGCGUACACGGUGGAUGCCCUGGCAGUCAGAGGCGAUGAAGGACGUGCUAAUCUGCGAUAAGCGUCGGUAAGGUGAGAUGAACCGUUAUAACCGGCGAUUUCCGAAUGGGGAAACCCAGUGUGUUUCGACACACUAUCAUUAACUGAAUCCAUAGGUUAAUGAGGCGAACCGGGGGAACUGAAACAUCUAAGUACCCCGAGGAAAAGAAAUCAACCGAGAUUCCCCCAGUAGCGGCGAGCGAACGGGGAGCAGCCCAGAGCCUGAAUCAGUGUGUGUGUUAGUGGAAGCGUCUGGAAAGGCGCGCGAUACAGGGUGACAGCCCCGUACACAAAAAUGCACAUGCUGUGAGCUCGAUGAGUAGGGCGGGACACGUGGUAUCCUGUCUGAAUAUGGGGGGACCAUCCUCCAAGGCUAAAUACUCCUGACUGACCGAUAGUGAACCAGUACCGUGAGGGAAAGGCGAAAAGAACCCCGGCGAGGGGAGUGAAAAAGAACCUGAAACCGUGUACGUACAAGCAGUGGGAGCACGCUUAGGCGUGUGACUGCGUACCUUUUGUAUAAUGGGUCAGCGACUUAUAUUCUGUAGCAAGGUUAACCGAAUAGGGGAGCCGAAGGGAAACCGAGUCUUAACUGGGCGUUAAGUUGCAGGGUAUAGACCCGAAACCCGGUGAUCUAGCCAUGGGCAGGUUGAAGGUUGGGUAACACUAACUGGAGGACCGAACCGACUAAUGUUGAAAAAUUAGCGGAUGACUUGUGGCUGGGGGUGAAAGGCCAAUCAAACCGGGAGAUAGCUGGUUCUCCCCGAAAGCUAUUUAGGUAGCGCCUCGUGAAUUCAUCUCCGGGGGUAGAGCACUGUUUCGGCAAGGGGGUCAUCCCGACUUACCAACCCGAUGCAAACUGCGAAUACCGGAGAAUGUUAUCACGGGAGACACACGGCGGGUGCUAACGUCCGUCGUGAAGAGGGAAACAACCCAGACCGCCAGCUAAGGUCCCAAAGUCAUGGUUAAGUGGGAAACGAUGUGGGAAGGCCCAGACAGCCAGGAUGUUGGCUUAGAAGCAGCCAUCAUUUAAAGAAAGCGUAAUAGCUCACUGGUCGAGUCGGCCUGCGCGGAAGAUGUAACGGGGCUAAACCAUGCACCGAAGCUGCGGCAGCGACGCUUAUGCGUUGUUGGGUAGGGGAGCGUUCUGUAAGCCUGUGAAGGUGUGCUGUGAGGCAUGCUGGAGGUAUCAGAAGUGCGAAUGCUGACAUAAGUAACGAUAAAGCGGGUGAAAAGCCCGCUCGCCGGAAGACCAAGGGUUCCUGUCCAACGUUAAUCGGGGCAGGGUGAGUCGACCCCUAAGGCGAGGCCGAAAGGCGUAGUCGAUGGGAAACAGGUUAAUAUUCCUGUACUUGGUGUUACUGCGAAGGGGGGACGGAGAAGGCUAUGUUGGCCGGGCGACGGUUGUCCCGGUUUAAGCGUGUAGGCUGGUUUUCCAGGCAAAUCCGGAAAAUCAAGGCUGAGGCGUGAUGACGAGGCACUACGGUGCUGAAGCAACAAAUGCCCUGCUUCCAGGAAAAGCCUCUAAGCAUCAGGUAACAUCAAAUCGUACCCCAAACCGACACAGGUGGUCAGGUAGAGAAUACCAAGGCGCUUGAGAGAACUCGGGUGAAGGAACUAGGCAAAAUGGUGCCGUAACUUCGGGAGAAGGCACGCUGAUAUGUAGGUGAAGUCCCUUGCGGAUGGAGCUGAAAUCAGUCGAAGAUACCAGCUGGCUGCAACUGUUUAUUAAAAACACAGCACUGUGCAAACACGAAAGUGGACGUAUACGGUGUGACGCCUGCCCGGUGCCGGAAGGUUAAUUGAUGGGGUCAGCGCAAGCGAAGCUCUUGAUCGAAGCCCCGGUAAACGGCGGCCGUAACUAUAACGGUCCUAAGGUAGCGAAAUUCCUUGUCGGGUAAGUUCCGACCUGCACGAAUGGCGUAAUGAUGGCCAGGCUGUCUCCACCCGAGACUCAGUGAAAUUGAACUCGCUGUGAAGAUGCAGUGUACCCGCGGCAAGACGGAAAGACCCCGUGAACCUUUACUAUAGCUUGACACUGAACAUUGAGCCUUGAUGUGUAGGAUAGGUGGGAGGCUUGGAAGUGUGGACGCCAGUCUGCAUGGAGCCGACCUUGAAAUACCACCCUUUAAUGUUUGAUGUUCUAACGUUGACCCGUAAUCCGGGUUGCGGACAGUGUCUGGUGGGUAGUUUGACUGGGGCGGUCUCCUCCUAAAGAGUAACGGAGGAGCACGAAGGUUGGCUAAUCCUGGUCGGACAUCAGGAGGUUAGUGCAAUGGCAUAAGCCAGCUUGACUGCGAGCGUGACGGCGCGAGCAGGUGCGAAAGCAGGUCAUAGUGAUCCGGUGGUUCUGAAUGGAAGGGCCAUCGCUCAACGGAUAAAAGGUACUCCGGGGAUAACAGGCUGAUACCGCCCAAGAGUUCAUAUCGACGGCGGUGUUUGGCACCUCGAUGUCGGCUCAUCACAUCCUGGGGCUGAAGUAGGUCCCAAGGGUAUGGCUGUUCGCCAUUUAAAGUGGUACGCGAGCUGGGUUUAGAACGUCGUGAGACAGUUCGGUCCCUAUCUGCCGUGGGCGCUGGAGAACUGAGGGGGGCUGCUCCUAGUACGAGAGGACCGGAGUGGACGCAUCACUGGUGUUCGGGUUGUCAUGCCAAUGGCACUGCCCGGUAGCUAAAUGCGGAAGAGAUAAGUGCUGAAAGCAUCUAAGCACGAAACUUGCCCCGAGAUGAGUUCUCCCUGACUCCUUGAGAGUCCUGAAGGAACGUUGAAGACGACGACGUUGAUAGGCCGGGUGUGUAAGCGCAGCGAUGCGUUGAGCUAACCGGUACUAAUGAACCGUGAGGCUUAACCUUACAACGCCGAAGGUGUUU